rnacentral:lncRNA from 1 species
UUUUUUUAAGCUUGCAGUAUCUUCCAUUUCAGAGGACCACAUGUCGACAUCCCCACCAAUGCUCCAACAUCAUACGUAAACCAUGGACCAGUUACACAGGUGGAUGAACAGGCUACAUCAAACAAUGUACCCCAAGGACCGAUUACACGAAGUCGUGCCAAGAAGCUACAACAAGAGGUGAAUUCUCUCCUUGCUGAAUUGAAGUUACACACAAAUGAGAAUUGUUUACUACCUAAGUGUUGUACUCUUAUUGUGUUAAGGUUUACACAUAAGGACAUGGAUAACACUCAAUUGGAGAAAGGUUACGUGAAAUCAAGGAUGAGUUACAUGAAGACCAACAAGGUUGCUGUCCAAGCUGAGACAGGUUACAUAUGCGAGACCUUGAGUUGCGCCGCAGAUGCUUCAAAUUCUCAUGUAAGUCUGUACCAAUCUGCCAGGACUCGUGGUGCAUGAUACACAUGGGCCGCAGAUGCUUCAAAUUCUCAAGCAAGUCUGUACCAAUCUGCCAGGACUCGUGGUGCAUGAUACACAUGGGUAGAAGCUUCAUCAAGUCUAGUUUACAACGCAAAAAACGGCUCGUCAUUUGAACUUCCCCAUAAGGAGUUAUGGACAUUUUAAUGACCACUGCUAGAAGAUGAGGAGAUGCGCGAGAAAUGACACAAGUUGCUUCUCGGGAUGACCUUUCAGCUAGCCUAUCUCCAGAAACUCUAAGUCCAUUUCACACCCAGCUAGGAGGAUGUUCCUAGUAUAAACACCACAUGUAUCUCAGAGAUUACACAAGACUUUGGUAAUUAGAAUACACCCCCUUUGUUCAGCUGUGUGCUAACAAACAUUGAGAGACAGAGAUAUCUACCCCUUUGCUCUUGUGAUUUC